UCGGCGGCGGAAAAGGGCGGACGCACCUGCCUCCGGGGUCCUCGGGGAAGUCACGGGGGCGGUACCCCUUACCCGCUAGGUCUGGCCGGCUGAGGGUGAAUUUCCAGAAUUCUCAAUAACGUUAAUAGAGGUGGAAAUUAUGGCACUUCAAGAGGCUCUGAACCCUUAUUUCAGUGAUCUUGCCUUCAAAUGUGUAUAGGAAUCCCAACACCCAGCACUUAUACUCGGGUAACAGCUCCAUAAGAUCAGAGGAUGCAUCUUCUAUUCACCAAGUGUGUUACAGAAUGUUUGAUGCCUACUGAGCCUUCAGAUAAAUGCUGAAAGACUAAACCUUUCCAAGUUAAGUAUUGAGAUUAAACAUCCCCACAUUUCCUGUAUUCUGAGAUUCCUUUCUAGUAUGAAUUUCUGUGAUGGUGAAUAACAUUAACCCCAUUUAUUACUUAUUGCUUAGUUGCACCCAUGGACUCAUUGGUUAGUAAAUAAAAAACUAAAAUUAGGUUGAGAAGAAUCAAUAUGCCCUUUUAUUUUUUAAUAAAGCCUUCAAAUAGUAUUUCAACCGUAUUCUGCAGUUCUCAGUAAAUGGAUCUUGCACAUCUUCUGUCAAAUUUAUCCCCAAGUAGUUAAUAGCAUGCUCCUUUGUAAAUAGCACUUUUAAAUCGAUAUUCAAUUUUGUGUGCGUGUGUGUCUACUAUAUAGAAAUAAAGCUGAUUUAUGUUUGUUGAUCAAUCAUGAGAAACACACUUAUUAGUUACAGCAGCAUUUUUUAAGGUAGAUUUCUUUGGAUUUUCUACAUGGAUGAUCAUGUCUGCAAAUCACAAUUUUAUUUCUUUCUUUCCAAUCUGCAUGCCAUUUAUUUAUUUUCUUGUCAUAUUGCACUGGCCAAGACCCAUCAGUAUAAUGUUGGAUAGAAGAAAUGAGAUCGGAUACCCUGUUUUGUUUCUGAUCUUAGGGGAAAAGCAUAAAGUUUUUCACUAAAUAUUGUGUUACCUUUAGGUUGUUUGCUAGAUGCCUUUUAUCAUGCUGAUGAAAUUCCUUUCUAGUCCUAGUUUGCUGAAGCCUUUUAUCAGAAUUCAGUAAUGGUUUUUCUUGCAUGCUUUUUCUGGGUCUGUUGAAGUGAUAAUAGGAUUUUUCGUUUUUAGAUUGUUAGUAUGGUGAGUUGCAUUGAUUGGCCUGUGUUACACAGGCCUGUUGCAUCCUGGGAUAAACUUUACUUGGACAUAAUAUAUUAUGCUGUUUGUAUAUUUUUGGACUUGAUUGGCUAAAAUUUUGUUUAGAAGUUUUGCAUAUGUUCAUGAAGGAUACUAGUGUAUAAUUGUUUUGUGUGGUAUCUGCCUUGUUUAGGGAUCAGGUUAAUGCUGGUCUCACCAAAUGAGAAAUACUUUUUCUUUUUAAUUUCCUGGAAGACUUACAUUACUUUGAUAUAAAUUCUACUUUGUAGAAUUUACCAGUGAAGCCAUCUGAAAUUUCCACGUGUGAGGUCUAACAACCCUUUGUAUCAGGCCUAUCCAGCUUUGGAGGCUGCGUUCUGGAGAUCUUUGAACACAGCUGGACUCUCAGGAUUUUCUGUCAGCAACUUACAGUUCCUCAAUUUGUUCAAGCUUGCAUUCAACAAAUAGUUGAGGACCUAUGGUGAGGCAGUCGCUCGCCUCCUGUGAACAGGUACAUUCGAGGUUCGCCAGACAACCAGUGCCCUCUAAGUUACCGCCACCUCCCCUAGGCCACUGGAAAGGAAGAGACCGCUGAUUGCCAUGACAACUAUCUAAAUUGAACCAGAAACAUGGAAGUCUUGUAUUUGAAUGUAAAGCUAUACCAGUUCACCCAUUUCACAAACCUGUUGAGCACUUUCCCAGGUGUUUUGGGGUUUACAAAGAUAAAAGACAGUGUCUCUGACCUUAACAAUCUGGCGGAUUUCAAAUUCUCUCACGAAGCCCAUCUAAUUUAAUCCUUGAGUUAAGACCAUUCUCCGUGGUGAGAGUACAGGUGAUGGGACAUAUUCCUGAUUGCUGAAUAAACUGAAGCUCCGGAGGGCAACCUGAUUCACGUAGUAUCACAUCCAGUGAGGGGAAAUGCUAGAAGUACAUUCAAAGACUCCAUUUCAGUAAUCUUUUACAUGACUCUGCCCUGAUUUUGAGUCCAAGGGAUUCCUUCAGAAAAGAACUUAGAAGCGAUUUGGUCUAUCAGCCAACAUGUGGGAACAAUUGGAGUUUGGAGAACCUUUUUCUACAGUGAUACAAUAGCAGAUGUUGUCCAACUUCACACCUUGCAAGUAUGGUGCUGCCUACGCAUUGCCUGAGAGGAUAUAAUCAUCACCACGGUAUGGAAGGAGAUCAUUCUUUGGAGUGGACAGUUCGCGAUUCAAACACCAACCACUCACAGCUCAAAUAUGACAUUAAUUUCCACGUGCCUCCAUUUUCUGAGAAGUUCUGACGACCUACUUCGUCGAACCGGUAGAAGAGGUGAGUGAGAUAGCUCACAUAAAACUAUGUCCCUGGGCCUGGCACCCUGACCCAGGGGAGGCGCUCCAGAAAUCUUAACCAUCACCGCGCCCCCCCCCCCCCCCCGCCACCGUCACCACACACACACACACACACACAAUGAACAAACAUUUAUUGAGUACUUAUUGCUAGGGAGUAGAGCUACAGAUAUAAAUAACAUCUAAUACCUUACUCUAAGAAUUGGCUUCUAUGCCACUUGGUGGGCGAGGAGAGACUUUGCUCCCCCUAAAGUCAUCCAUUUGGAGGGAGAAAAGGGAGACUGGGAGAUGGGGAAUGGGGAGCCAUCCUUCUCCACUGCCACCUCAAGAGGUCAGAGGAAAUGGGGCCAAAUUCCCUUUUGGAUUUCAUUCCCUCCGGCCGAGUGGUGGGCUCAUGGCUGGGAACAGGAUGUUGCUGAGAGAGCUGCAUCCAAAGGGAACUCUUAUUUCCUAUGUCUUUUGUUCCCUGACAUUUUCAAUUUCCAUCACAGGAGCCUUUGCCAGUCAUCUGCUUCGCCUUUAUCCCAAAAUCAAUUUCCUGGGAAGGUGCAAGAUGCUGUGAACAUCUGGCCCAAACGCUCAGGGCUGUCCUUCCCAAUUGGGUGUUCUUCAUGUGACGCAGUGGAGUGGCAGUGCUACCUCUGCCCUGGGACAUAGUAAGACACCCGGGCCAGAGCGGCCUGGGUCUGCCCAGAUCCCCUUCUCCUUCUCCAAAUACCAGGAGCAUAUUUCCUACUUCAAUUGCCGUUUUGACCUCAAAUAAAACUAACCUGACUUAUGGUAGAAAAAAAUGUGCUGAGAUUCACUGGGGCAUGGCUCUUCCUUUCCUCCAGAGAGUUUGGGCAGAGAGCUUCAAAUGGACCUCAGGAGGACUCUUUCCAAUUCACUGUGUGCCCCCAAAAGUAGUGGCACUAAUAAAACAUCAAAGAGUAAAUACUGGUUAGUGUGUGUGUGUGUGUGUGUGUGUGUGUGUGUGUGUGUGACAGAGACAGAGAGUCAGAGAAUUAACAGCUGUCAUGAUUGCCCUGUUUCAGAGUACAGGCAUUUUCACUUCAGAAAUUUCAAAAAGGACUCCAAAAUAAAUGUGAACACGUACACUCAGAGCAACCAAAUGUAUUUUCUCAGACUACAUGUCUCCUGAGGAAAAUGUAGAGCUUUUGCUUCUGGCCAGACUGGAACCUGUCCCCAUGCCCACCUCCCUCUGCCAAAGCUUUGAUCCUAAAGAAACACUUCAGGAUUCCAAACUCAAACCCACAAUAGCAGACCUUGUGGUGGAUGUAUUUCACAUUCAUGAUAUUCCUAAUUCACACCAACUCUCUCAAACCACACUCAGUGCGAGGUACAUACCACAUGUCCAUUCCGAUUUUCCCGAUCACCAGCCCCCACCGUGCCCUUCGUAAACUAUUUUUUUAAUCAAAUUUCCUCCACAUUCACCACGGUUCAAGAGCUCCUAAAAUUUCACCUCUCCUCCAGACUAUUUCCCGCUUAGGCUGGAAACGAGGUGGAAUUUUCUCCAGCUUCAGAGUUCCAAGAUGAAUAGCAAGUUCCAAGGUUGAACACCUUCAACCACGCUGCACACGACAACAGCAACACCAAUAAUAUUUUGGGUGUAAGUGUUACCUUCUCUAAAGCUCAAAGCAUUUUUAAAGAUCACGUUCUGUGUUUGUAUAGCAUUGUUCUGGGUAAAGAGAGGAAAACAAUUGUUUUCUCAUUUGACAAGUAGCAACUGACAAAUGGCAAAUAGCAAACCCAGGGUAAGCACCAAGCAGCAUACCUGAGAUGCCUCGGUAUGAUCCAGGAGGAGGCAAGGCAGGGAGAGAACCUGAUGAGUCUCAAAAAUAGUGAUCUAUGUGUUCGGGGCCCACCGCUGCCUGGGACACUGUCUUAUCUCAGUUGUUACUGUUUUUUACGACUAUCGAUUUUGUUGUUGUUGCUGCUGUUCCGAUUCUCAGAUGGAUGUUUAAAUUGUCUUCAAAUAUCCCCUCGUUCCCAUCAUUCCUCCCUCCAAACAUACACACACACACACACACACACACACACACAUAUAUAUAUAUAUAUAUAUAUAUAUAUAUAUACACAUAUCUAUUUCCCCCACCAGACUGCUAGGGCUGUGCCUGAAAUUCUGGAGAUGAGGGUUGGAGGUGAGGGAGAUUUCCUGCUUUCUCCUCCUCUGCCCUCUUCUCUUCUCCUGGGAAUGAAGGAAACUGAUAUUUACUAAUUGUUUACUGCACGAUGUAUUUCAUUUCACUUAACAAUCAUAACAUCCUUACUUUGGUAUUACCUCCCUGCAGAAGGAUUAAGUGGAUUCUUUAUAUUCUCACAGUUUGUAAGAUGCAGGGCUGAGCUGUGAACCCCUGGCGUUUCACCCCUUCGGGUCUCUCAAUUCUAAAAUCCAGACAUUAUUUCUCCUUUUUUCCCUUGUAAGUUUGUUCCUGAUGUUCAUUUUAAACAUAUUUAGUCCAUACUAAGCUCUUUUGGGUAGAUGCUCAAAAAAUGGGAUCAAAUGAGUAUCUUUAUCCUUUUAUGGACACUGAGACUUUAAAGUUUUGUUUUGUUUUCUUUUUUGGUUUUCCUAAACAUUUUCUUUUCUUUUCUUUUUUUUUUUUUUUUUUUUUUGUUUUUUUUGUUUUUUGUUUUUUGUUUUCCUAAGCAUUAAGCUGGCUGAGUUAACAUUCUUGUUCCAAAGGCUGGGACUAAGAUAAAAGCCAAGAGUCUGAUUUAUUUCUUCAGGGAUUCAUUCAGAUCAUACAAAGCUAUUCAUUGACUUGGCCUUUCCCUCCCAAAGACCCUAAUUUAGAGUGAUUUGAUUUCAUUACUGGUGAUUGGAAGAGUUUAUUGCAUAGAAACAAACUAUACGUUCCCUUGGAGAAAUAUGAAAGUCGUCACCAGCUGAGAUGACCCAUGAAUAAAACGGGUGAAAAGUGUUCUAAAGAGGAAGAAUCCAUAAGAGAGAUUAUUUUUAGAGAAAGAAAGACGAUUAUUGGAGGUAAUAACAUGUCUUAAGCUAGAUAUGUCAUUUGGUCUCCUUAGAUAGCUUCUGCAGGAUGGAAAAUACAUUUUGUUUUCUCCCUCAAUCUGACACACAUCAUCAUUAUAGAAAAAAAAUUGCGUAGACUAAAACACAAACAGAAUAAACACACAUAAUUCCACCCACCCAGAUAGAAUGACAAAUAGACACUGUGAUAUAUGAACUUCCAGCCAUUUCCUGCACACAUAUAAUCUAACAGAAAUAAAAUCAUGGCAUACCGUAUCUUUGAUACUUGCUUUUUUCCCAUUAAAAUGAUGAAUGCCUACUAAUAUCAAUAAGGAAACAUUUAUAACACAAUAAUUAAAGGCCUGAUAGUAUGAUAUGUUAGUUAUGAUAGUAUGAUAGUAUGUUAUCCCGUGAUUUACUUAACCUGUCCUUUAGAAUUAAGCAAUGAGAUUAUUUCCAUCUUUCCAAUUUUAAAUAAUGAUACACAGACUGUCCUACAAAAGCCUUAACAUAAAGGAAAAACUGGGAGAUGGUAACCCAUGUUUGGAAGUGGAAAUGUUGAUUAUAUUAAAAGUAUAAAAAAAAAUUAAAGUUUUUGAUAGAUGUUACUGCAUUAUUUUUCUAAAAAUUAUAUUAACAUACAUAGCAGGGUCUGACUGCAUCCAUUUUUCUAAAUCCACUGAUUGAUAGAAAUAAAUGUUAUUUCAUUGUUUUAA